rnacentral:rRNA from 1 species
UACGGAGGAUCCGAGCGUUAUCCGGAUUUAUUGGGUUUAAAGGGUGCGUAGGCGGCGUAUUAAGUUAGAGGUGAAAAACCAUGGCUCAACCAUGGCCGUGCCUCUGAUACUGAUAUGCUAGCAAGUAGAUGCGGUAGGCGGAAUGUGUGGUGUAGCGGUGAAAUGCUUAGAUAUCACACAGAACACCGAUUGCGAAGGCAGCUUACCAAUCUACGUUGGACGCUGAGGCACGAAAGCGUGGGGAGCAAACAGG